GCUAGUAAUGGCAGGUCAGCAUACUGCCGUGAAUACGUUCCCGGGCCUUGUACACACCGCCCGUCACACCAUGAGAGUUGGGAAUACCCGAAGUCAGUAGUCCAACCACGUGAGGACGCUGCCGAAGGUAGGAUUGGCGACUGGGGUGAAGUCGUAACAAGGUACC
rnacentral:rRNA from 1 species